rnacentral:rRNA from 1 species
UACGGAGGGUCCAAGCGUUAUCCGGAAUCAUUGGGCUUAAAGGGUCCGUAGGCGGUUUAAUAAGUCAGCGGUGAAAGCCUAUCGCUUAACGAUAGAACGGCCAUUGAUACUGUUAGACUUGAAUUAGUGGGAAGUAACUAGAAUAUGUAGUGUAGCGGUGAAAUGCUUAGAUAUUACAUGGAAUACCAAUUGCGAAGGCAGGUUACUAUCACUAUAUUGACGCUGAUGGACGAAAGCGUGGGGAGCGAACAGG